CAGCCGCCACGGUAAUACGUAGGUGGCAAGCGUUGUCCGGAUUUAUUGGGCGUAAAGCGAGCGCAGGCGGUCAAUUAAGUCUGAUGUUAAAGCCCCCGGCUCAACCGGGGAGGGUCAUUGGAAGCUGGUUGACUUGAGUGCAGAAGAGGAGAGUGGAAUUCCAUGUGUAGCGGUGAAAUGCGUAGAUAUAUGGAGGAACACCAGUGGCGAAGGCGACUCUCUGGUCUGUAACUGGCGCUGAGGCUCGAAAGCGUGGGUAGCAAACAGGAUUAGAUACCCCAGUAGUCCCUGUCUCUUAUAA
rnacentral:rRNA from 1 species